ensembl:lncRNA
CAGGUGGUGGUGAGGAUGCACCACGUGAGUAGGGUGAGAGGCCUGGAGACUCAACUGGUGUGGGCCAUCUCCAAGGAGACAGCCAGGCUUAGUCCAGAGGGAAUCCCCUACUGUGCCACCAAAGUGCAGUCCAUCACUUGGAUCCAGGUAAGACAUAAAUACUACUGUAAUAGUAUUAGAUUAGGCUUUUCUUCACUUAUUCCAUUUGGCCUUAAUAUGUAUUCUCUCUUUGUCAGCGUGUGGCUGGCAGGGUGACCCACUAUGCGUCUCACCUCCGCCACGAGAUGUCUGUGGACGUGACGCUUGGCUGCUACCAGGUGUGUGUGUUUUGAGCAGCAGACUGAUGUCUCAGUGGUGUACGCCACUCUCCACAUGGGGCUGGACGGGCUUCUCUCCUCUUCAGCGUGGUCGGAGGCUGCCUCCUUCUCUACUCCCACCACUCAGCAGUUCACUGACCCAGAGCCUGAGGGCCACAACUGCUAUGAGGGCUGGGAGGAGGACCUGCUGCCUGAGGAGAGGGAGGUUCCUCUGCUAAAGUGAGUUCCUCUAAAUGUCUGUGUAGUCUGAGCUUGUCAAAUGCUGAAGGAUAGUGGUCAUAAUGCUGUUAUCCCCCAUUGACUCUAAUGGUUGACAUGCUUCAUUCCCUCCCUUUCACAGCCUCCACCUUACCACCAAGAGAGUGGAGGACAUCGCCCUGAGGCUCGUCUCCUUGCGCCAGGCCUUCACUGUGAGUGGACCCACUGUUCUUUUUGUCUCUAUGACUUCUUGUUCUGUCUCCAAGAGGAAGAGGUCUCACCCUAACUCUUCCCUCUUCCCUAGACCCUGCUUGGUUCCACCCUGAGCAGGAACCAUCUGUUUGUGGCGGGAAAGGUCCUCCUGGGCGGCCUUGUUCAGGCCAACCACAUGGACGAGGCCAAAUUCAUCCGUACCUAUAAUGACUUUGUGGACUACCUGAGUGACCCCUCCAAGCGGAAUGACAUUGCGAGGGAGCUGGCUGAGGCAAAGAUCCAUCAUGUGAACAUGAUAGAUGUCCUCUUUGAGCUGGUGCUGUUUGGGAUGAUGACAGCUCAGAAGUCCCUGAUGGUGCACCCUGGUGGGUUCGUGGAGCGUCUGUACGCUCUCCUGUACUCCUUCCUGCCCACUGCUGCCAACAUGGAGCCAGAGGCUGAUAGAUACCUACUGCUGCUCAAUGAUUCUUGUGACACUUUGCCACCCAACAGGGAUCUAGACACCAAUGCACUACAUUACUUUGCACUGAACUUGACAUUGUAAAAUAAAAUAAGUUGUAGUUCAAAAACAUUUUUGUUUCUGUCUUUUCAUCUAUUUGAUUUUAUGACCAUUUCCUCUUCCUGGAGGUAUAAUGCAUAUAUUAGAAUAUUACAUGAACAAUGAUGCUUUAUUAUCUGCAUAUGGAAAUAAAAAACAACGUUUAGUUGAUUGACAGAUACUACAGGCCCACACUUUAUAUGGUUUUGUACAGUGGUUUGUGAUACUGGGGCGGCAGGGUAGCCUAGUGGUUAGAGUGUUGGACUAGUAACCGGAAGGUU